rnacentral:rRNA from 1 species
UACGGGAGGCAGCAGUGGGGAAUAUUGCACAAUGGGCGAAAGCCUGAUGCAGCAACGCCGCGUGAAGGAUGAAGGUCUUCGGAUCGUAAACUUCUGUCCUUGGGGAAGAUAAUGACGGUACCCAUGGAGGAAGCCCCGGCUAACUACGUGCCAGCAGCCGCGGUAAU